rnacentral:other from 1 species
UUUGCCCUGGGGAGUUCGAGUAAACGUCUCAAGCCCCGAACCGUAUUAUAAAAUCCCAGGAGGCUAGGUCGCGGCAGGCCAAGACAUGCCUUCAUUGGAAGUCUGAGCUGGUCGCGGCGGUCAUCCGCCCUUGUUUUCAAGGGAUCGGGAAUUGGGUCGUGACGGCUCACCCGGGGCAAUC